AUGGAACCACCUUGUUCUCAGUGUUUGAACAUGACUAAUAUUGACAACACAACUGAAACUCCGAUCAUAGCCGCUGAAUUUGUAACCGAUCCGGCGGCUCCGACAUCAGGACCUGGUGCCGGAGACAACGAGGGACUGAGGUCUUGGGCUGAGGCUACGAUGACGGCAAAGACAAAUACAAAAAGGAAGGAGAAAAACUUCAUUGCAGAAAAUGGUGAAGCCAUUGCGAAACUGUGGAAUAUUUUUGCAAAUUGA